rnacentral:rRNA from 1 species
GUGGGGAAUAUUGGACAAUGGGCGAAAGCCUGAUCCAGCCAUGCCGCGUGUGUGAAGAAGGUCUUCGGAUUGUAAAGCACUUUAAGUUGGGAGGAAGGGCAGUAAGUUAAUACCUUGCUGUUUUGACGUUACCGACAGAAUAAGCACCGGCUAACUUCGUGCCAGCAGCCGCGGUAAUACGAAGGGUGCAAGCGUUAAUCGGAAUUACUGGGCGUAAAGCGCGCGUAGGUGGUUUUGUAAGUUGGAGGUGAAUCCCCGGGCUCAACCUGGGAACUGCCUCCAAAACUGCAUGACUAGAGUACGGUAGAGGGUAGUGGAAUUUCCUGUGUAGCGGUGAAAUGCGUAGAUAUAGGAAGGAACACCAGUGGCGAAGGCGACUACCUGGACUGAUACUGACACUGAGGUGCGAAAGCGUGGGGAGCAAACAGGAUUAGAUACCCCGGUAGUCC